GAUGAACGCUGGCGGUAUGCUUAACACAUGCCAGUCGAACGGACUCUUCGGAGUUAGUGGCGGACGGGUGAGUAACGCGUGAGAAUCUGGCUUUGGGUUCGGGACAACCACUGGAAACGGUGGCUAGUACCGGAUGUGCCGAGAGGUAAAAGAGAAAUUGCCUGAAGAUGAGCUCGCGUCUGAUUAGCUAGUUGGUGAGGUAAAGGCUCACCAAGGCAGCGAUCAGUAGCUGGUCUGAGAGGAUGACCAGCCACACUGGGACUGAGACACGGCCCAGACUCCUACGGGAGGCAGCAGUGGGGAAUUUUCCGCAAUGGGCGAAAGCCUGACGGAGCAAUACCGCGUGAGGGAAGAAGGCUCUUGGGUUGUAAACCUCUUUUCUUAGGGAAGAACAAAAUGACGGUACCUAAGGAAUCAGCAUCGGCUAACUCCGUG
rnacentral:rRNA from 1 species